AUAACAACUCUUCCACAACGAGUCCCUGUCAGGAUCACUCUCCAUGGCUCUCUGCUUAACAUCAUUUUCCCUUUAUAAGUCUGGUGCGAGAAGCUUGACGACAGAGGAGGCAAGACGUCGUGCUGUGGAGAUGCGAGUCGUAGUGUGGUGCGGCACUAGGAGAUAGAACUUUAGGUUCAGAAGUUUUAGUUGUAGCUUUAACUUUUUCAAAAAUUUGGUUUAGUUUGAUUUUAGUUUAAUAUACUAGUCAUAUAACCAAUUUUAAUAUACAAA
rnacentral:lncRNA from 1 species